rnacentral:rRNA from 1 species
CGCGUAGGCGGCUUUAUAAGUCGGGGUGAAAGCCUGUGGCUCAACCACAGAAUUGCCUUCGAUACUGUAGAGCUUGAGACCGGAAGAGGUAAGUGGAACUGCGAGUGUAGAGGUGAAAUUCGUAGAUAUUCGCAAGAACACCAGUGGCGAAGGCGGCUUACUGGUCCGGUUCUGACGCUGAGGCGCGAAAGCGUGGGGAGCAAACA